rnacentral:lncRNA from 1 species
UCAAGCAAUCCACCCACCUCAGCCUCCCAAGGUACUGGGUUAACAGGAGUGAGCCACCACACCUGGCCUAUAAUCUACUUUUUAAACUAAAUAAUACAUUACAUAUAUCUUUCUAAGCUAAUGAACAUACACAUUUUUGGUAGUGAAUAUCUUUAUGUAUUCACCCAGAUCACAAAUGAUUCCCUUAACUGUUUUCCCAUCCACUGAAAUAAGCUCAAGCUCUCAUAUUUGUAUUGCGUGACCCUGUCUUCCUGAUCACAGUUUUUUGAAUCAAAUUUACUCUGGGCAAUCAGAUUCUCUUUGCUGGGAAUUUGGAAAUGGGGUUGGUCUCUUGAAAAGAAAAGUAAAAUCAGGAAAAUAGAAUUACUUAAGUAAUCCUUCAAAAUUGGUAUUUUUAUCUUAAAAAGACUGAUGUGAGGUAUUGAAGUAGAUGUUAAAACUUUAAAAUGAUGGUUACAAAUAAGGGGGGCUGGAUGAAUGAAUGUACAAAGAACAACAACAUCUUAAUUCCUGGAUUCAUACGUUUUCAAUACUAACCUAAACACCAUAGAGUCACCUAGAGACAACUGUAAUUUCUCUUCUAUUAACCAAAAAACUAUUAAUUUUAAAAGAAUAUUCACAUUAAACAUGGAGCAAUCUGCUCUGUUACAGCUCCACUAUACCUGUGACCUACAUUCUUGUGUAGCAUGCACUAGACUCAUGUUCUCAGCCAGGCUAUGGUGGUCAAUGAUCAUAGUUAGUCUAUCACUGAUACAUGUUUGUCAGCUUGCUCAACCAAACAAACAUCUGUCCCUGUUUGAUCUUAACAUAAAAGUCCAAAGUUAGACUUAUCUCAAAUCCUAGUCAUAGCUAUUAAUGAUUAAGAGAGACAAUGUGAUAGAUCCUAUCUACAAAUAACUAUUUGGAAGGCAGAAGUUUGGAGAGACAUUAACUCUUUCAGCAUUUAUUUAUCAGAGUACUCUGGCUGAAAAAAAAUUGUAGAAGCUUCUCCAGAAUUAAAUGUUUAAAGAACAUUAUUUGAAGGAGACAGUAAAAGAAAAGGGAUGUAACAGGUGAAACAAGACUGACCAUGUUUUAAUAAGCUGGCUAAUAGAUUCGGGUGUACAUGUGCAGGUCUGUUACCUGGGAAUACUGCGUGAUACUGAACUUUGGGGUACAAGUGAUCCUGUCACCCAGGUACUGAGCACAGUACCCAACAGGUAGUUUUUCAACCCUCUCCCUCUAGUAGUCCCCAGU